ACUCUCUGCAGAGGCCCCUGCUAUAAUAUCCUGAGCAAUCUGGUGAAGACGAGAACUGGAAGGCAACUGCUGACGCCGAAAGACCGGAUCGGUAUGGAACCUAUCCGACACGGCCCCUAUCAGCCGUCGGAAGAUAUCGUCAUCCAAGCCAGCGCCCGUAUGAGAUGGUCCGACAGGUGCUCUCGGACACUGGCGCUGGCUGGAGCCUAUAAAGAGAUACAAAUUUGAUUACUAAAAAUAAUUUAUAUAAUGUGAUAAAUUCGGAUAAUUUCGUGAAACAUAAAAAAAUAUUACCUCCAGGAAGUGUAUAUGCGGGUAUCCUCGGCAGACCCAACACUCGAUAU
rnacentral:lncRNA from 1 species